AGAGUUUGAUCAUGGCUCAGAAUCAACGCUGGCGGCGUGCCUCAGACAUGCAAGUCGAACGAUUAAAGCUCCCUUCGGGGAGUGCAUAAAGUGGCGCACGGGUGAGUAACACGUAAGUAAUCUACCCUCGGGUGGGGAAUAACGUUCGGAAACGGACGCUAAUACCGCAUAAUGCAGCGGCACCGCAAGGUGACAGUUGUUAAAGAUUUAUUGCCUGGGGAGGAGCUUGCGGCAGAUUAGCUUGUUGGUAAGGUAACGGCUUACCAAGGCUACGAUCUGUAUCCGGUCUAAGAGGACGGUCGGACACACUGACACUGAAUAACGGGUCAGACUCCUACGGGAGGCAGCAGUCGGGAAUUUUGGGCAAUGGGGGAAACCCUGACCCAGCAACGCCGCGUGAAGGAUGAAGUAUUUCGGUAUGUAAACUUCGAAAGAAUAGGAAGAAUUAAUGACGGUACUAUUUAUAAGGUCCGGCUAACUACGUGCCAGCAGCCGCGGUAAUAC
rnacentral:rRNA from 1 species